rnacentral:lncRNA from 1 species
CGCAGGGAGCCACCUGAGGCCCACAGAGGGGCCGGUCUCUGCUCAAGGGGAGCCCAGCCAAGGCCUGGUGCCUAUCAGCCUGAGUCUCUCACAGAUGUUCUGCUCACAUUUUGCACGCCCAGUCCUCAGACAAGAAUGUGCAGAGAAAGGUGACUGCAGAAAAUGAACGCGCCAAGCUUGUCAUACUGCAGAAGGCCUGAAGAAGGCGCUGCUGGUGUCCCUGUUCCUGCCGGCUGCUGCAGGAAGGAGUCGAACCUUCCUUGACAAGACAGAUAUUGCCAGUCAGACAGCCUGUCCUAUUGGCUGCCCGCCAGGCCCCUCACCGAGGGGAAAGACAGUGACUAAGCCCCAUCUUUCAGCCUGAAUUCUUGAACCUCCACCCAGAGGAACCAUCUCUUGGAGAAACAAGAUCUCCUCAUUCUGCAAUGCUGAGGUUUUUAUUUGAUGUAUCAACCCUUCUCCUCUUUCUGAGGCUCCACGGGAGAAAUUUCUCUAUUUUCAGAACCAGCGCUCCCUGUGUUCCUCCCAAGCAGCUGGAGUGCUUUUAUAUUAUGGGCUGUGUGAAUCAAGUGAUGGACCGAGCCUCAUUUUACUGAUUUUUAGAAAGUCAGCCAAAUUCACCUUGGGCAAACUUAAGAACUUAAAUGUCCCAAUGUGAACUUCUUUCAUGGCCUCAUCUGAUCUUUCCUAUUUUGUUUUCUAUUUGUCCUGCUUCCUUCUAGAUAUAUUUAAGAUGUUAUUUUUAUUUCUUUGUGCAUUUAUCUAAGCUCCCUUAAAUCCUUUCAAGACAAGGCAGAUUACAAGUGCAUACAUACAUGAGCAUGAGCACGCAAACCUAUCUACUUCUUAAUAUUGUCUUCCCUUCCCAUCCCUGCCGUGACUACCCCAGACAGGUGCUCACGCAUCACCCUGCUGGUAAAUUCCUGCUUCGGCAUGAUCCCCAGUCCAUCCUCCAUGUAGUUGUCAGGAUAAUCUUUCUAACAUGCAAAUCUCAUGGGGUCAGUCUUCUCAAAAUUCUUCAAUAGUCCUCUCAAACUUCUUUGAGAGAUCUCCCCCUCCACACUGCCUGGCCCCUGCCUGCCUAUCUGUUCAGCCUCAUUUCACAUUCCUCCCUCCCUCUGUAACCUCUAACACGCCCCAUUUGACAUUCCAGAAAUCAAGAAAACACCAGACCAUCUGCUCCCUCCACCCCUGCUUCCCUCAUUCACCCGCCAUACUCAUUCAUCCCUUGAGGCUCGGCUGGAAACAACCUCCUCUGUGAAGCCUUCCUUGACUUCCCAGGUGCACUGUGCUGCUCCAGCUAUAUGACUAACAGGAUGGAAGAGCUUUAGGACCCUACAGACUUGCAUUCAAGUGUCUUCCAAGCUAGAGCUGAAGACAUUAAAAUGUCGCAAGAGAGAGAAAAAUAUGGGGCUUCCAGGCAGGCAGUGAAGGAAGCUGGCUGGGUAAAGGAAGCUGUCUACCCUUUCCCUCAAAUCUUCUCAGGAGAUAGAAUUAAGUCUGUCACUUGAACAUGGGCACAAGGAUUGCAAAAACCCAAAGAAGAAGGAGGACUCCCCCAUUGUUACAGCGGUCAAAGCAAGGACCAAGCACGUCCAUGUGCUUGGUCACCUACUGCCACAGUUUCUGUGUCCAGUUGGGAUUCAGGACAGUAAACAACUUCAGUCCACAUGAGAGUUUCAGUGGAAUGGACCUGAGUUGCUGACUUCGUAACUUCCAGUCUCUUUAGGUAGUAAAUCUGCUUGCCUUGCAACAGUGAUUCUCAAACGGGGGCCCCUGAGCCAACAGCGUCAGUAUCACCUGGAACUUGCGAGAAAUGCAGACUCUCAGGACUCCCCCAGACCCAUGGGUCGGAACGGGGCCCAGCAUCCCUUGUGUCAACAAGCCUCCUGGGAGAGUCCCAUG